rnacentral:rRNA from 1 species
UGAGGAAUAUUGGUCAAUGGACGAGAGUCUGAACCAGCCAAGUAGCGUGCAGGAUGACGGCCCUCCGGGUUGUAAACUGCUUUUAGUUGGGAAUAAAGUUCGGGACGUGUCCCGAUUUGUAUGUACCAUCAGAAAAAGGACCGGCUAAUUCCGUGCCAGCAGCCGCGGUAAUACGGAAGGUCCGGGCGUUAUCCGGAUUUAUUGGGUUUAAAGGGAGCGCAGGCGGGCUUUUAAGUCAGUUGUGAAAUACGGCGGCUCAACCGUCGGACUGCAGUUGAAACUGGAAGUCUUGAGUUCACACAGGGAUGCCGGAAUUCAUGGUGUAGCGGUGAAAUGCUCAGAUAUCAUGAAGAACUCCGAUCGCGAAGGCAGGCAUCCGGGGUGUUACUGACGCUGAGGCUCGAAAGUGCGGGUAUCAAACAGG